UCAAAUGAUCUGCCUGCCUCAGCCUCCCAAAGUGCUGGGAUUACAAGUGUGAGCCACUGUGCCUGGCCAGAUCCUAUUGUUUACUGUUGUUUUACUUUAGGUAGACCAGAGAAAAUAGAAACAAAGAAAGUUUGGAAGAAAAAAGCCAUGACUGCUUUUGAUCUCAGGAAACUUAGCUAUUAUCUAGGACAUGGCAAGAUAAAACUGAAAAACAAUUCUAUUCCUUCCACGCUUCUCUUUGAAGGAGACACACUUGGCAACCCUGGCCACACUUCUCUUACCCCUUUUCACUGCCCAAUACUCUCAUUUCUCAGACACCAAAUCCCUAACAAACUUCUCAACUCCCAGUUCUUCCUGGCUUUUUCUCCUGCCCUGUCUGCUGUGUUCAGGUCCCUUUUAAGGGUGCCGUUGGAUAAAUAUUUGAACAUUCCUAAAGAUGAGGAGCUCGCCUUUCCAAGGCAGCCCCUUGCAUUGCUGGAUAACACAUUUCCAAGUCUUGCCCUAUUGAGGUAAAGUACUGGAGUCUCUCCGUGCUGCCUUCACUUACCUCUUCCUAUUUUUCCUUCCAGGGGAUUCCUAGAGGUUAUUAAUUCCCCUGCUGUGGGACAGUCAUUCAAUGUUUGAAGAAAGUAAUUGUUUACUUCCCUCCCUUGAUUCUUUGACAGAAGAUCACCAGGGCUCUCAACCAAUCAUCAGUGCUCUCAACCAAUCAUCAGUGCUCUCAGACAAUCAUCAGUGCUCUCAGCCAAUCAUUAGUGCUCUCAGCCAAUCAUCAGUACUCUCAGCCAAUCAUCAGAUCACCUGAAUUCUAGAUUUUCCAUCAUCUCAGCCACCUUUUUUCACAUGCAACUUGUUAAACGUUGUCCAAGGAUGAGAUGGAAUGAAAUGGACACCUUUAGUGUACAGAUAACAUGGACGGAAGUUCUGUUGUAACAAGGCUCACUGUUUCCAAAAUCAAAUCAGUGACAAAACCAUGAAGAUCAUAGGAUUUGGAAGGUGAAAAAUCAUAGCAUUCAGGACUGCAGGUGCCACCAGCUAAUUGGGCUCACUGGGCUCUGAAACUGCAAGGAGGUGCUGUGACAAGUUACUGAGAACCAAGAAACUUUGGUAACCCCUGAAAUUUGGUGAAAAAAUGAAAUCAAAACUGUGUAAAUACAGUCAACAAUCUCA
rnacentral:lncRNA from 1 species